GAUGAAGAACGCAGCGAAAUGCGAUACGUAAUGUGAAUUGCAAAUUCAGUGAAUCAUCGAGUCUUUGAACGCACAUUGCGCCCCCUGGUAUUCCGGGGGGCAUGCCUGUCCGAGCGUCAUUACAACCCUCAAGCUCAGCUUGGUGUUGGGCCCCGCCGCCCCGGCGGGCCCUAAAGUCAGUGGCGGUGCCGUCCGGCUCCGAGCGUAGUAAUUCUUCUCGCUCUGGAGGUCCGGUCGCGUGCUCGCCAGCAACCCCCAAUUUUUUUCAGGUUGACCUCGGAUCAGGUAGGGAUACCCGCUGAACUUAAGCAUAUCAAUAAGCGGAGGA
rnacentral:misc_RNA from 1 species